rnacentral:rRNA from 1 species
UUAAAUUUUAUUUAUUUAUUUAUUUAAUUUUAAAUUGUAAAAUAUUAAAAAUAAUUAUAAAUUAAAAAGUUUUAGUAUUGUUUAAAGAAAAAAUAAAUUUAAUUAUAGAGAAUUAGUAUUGUAAAAGAAAAUUGAAAUAAUUUGAAAAAUUAUUAUUAAAAAAGAAAAUUUAAUUUAUUGUACCUUGUGUAUCAGUGUUUAUUAAAUAAAAAAUAUUUAUAUAUUUUUCUCGAUUUUAAAAGAGUUAAUAUAAUAUAAAAGUUAAUGUAAUAAAAUUAUUUUUCAUAUUAUAUUAGAAAUGAAAUGUUAUUCGUUUUUAAAGGUAUCUAGUUUUUCAAGAAAUAAAUUUAAUUUAGAAAUUAUAAAUUUAUUUAAAAAAUUUUAUUAGUUAAAUAAUUUAUGAUUUUAAUAUUUUAUGGGAUAAGCUAUAAAAUAAAUUUUUAAAAAUAAUAAAAAAAUUUAAUAAAUAUAUGUUUAGAAUUAGCAAUUAUUAAUAAAUAUGUUAUAAUUUAUUUUAUAAUAUAAAUUAUUUAUUAUAUUUUAAGUAUUUAUUGAAAUAUUAAUUUUAAUUUUUUAAAUUAAUUAAUAAUGAUAAAAUUAGUAUAUUUUUAUGUUAAAUAAAUUUAAAUGAUAAGUUAAAAUAAAG